AUUGAAGGUUCACGAGACGUCUGGCGGCGGUGGUCAGGCAGAAAAAGCAUCAAAUAUUUGUUUGCAACCACCUGAAAGAAAAAAUGUCAUUGCUUCUAGUCUCUCAGCAGCAAAAUCGACCACAGCAAGACCGCACAGACCUUCACAGACCUGACUGGUGGAAAAGAGCGCGAGUGAGGGGAGAAGAUAAGACCGCCAGACCUUCAGACAGCCGUAUCAGAUCACCGAUGUGAAAACCAGAAGAAAGAAUGAAUAAUGCAUUCAUUGGAGAAAGAAAUCCUCCCUUUGCUCUAAAUAAACAAGAUCAUUAUCUUGGAAUUACAAGAACAGUCUUUAUGAAACAAUAAAAAUCUGCUUUGUUUUGCUGAUUUAACAAGACACCAGUUCAUCGAAAUCCCACCGGAAGCUCUCAUUUAGGCCAUUGCAGGAGGCAGACAUUCACCUAAUGUUUCAUUUAACCCUGUAUUAUUUUGUUUUGGGUUCAAGACCAUGGGGGAUACAUGUUAGGUGGUAUGACUUUAUUCAUUAUUCACAGACACACUGGGACUGUGCAGCUUUUCAGAAGUCACACUCAUUCUGAUCUUCUGGAUGUUGCUGUGUUUCUUCAGGCUCACUUACCUUCACAGAUAUAAGAUGGCGCAUCUGAAAUGCACUCAGGAUGGCGACAUGGUGACAUAUAGGCAAAUUCUGAAAUACUGAAUACCCUUAGUGCCACUAAUGCCCUGUGUCUUGUUAAUCCCGAAAAAAAUGAGUAUUUUCAUCUCAAGUGAAUGCAAUACAUUUCUAUACAAAAACAUUUUCUGGUAACACAUUAAAUUGUAUUGUAUGUAUUUA